UACGUAGGGUGCGAGCGUUUGUCCGGAAUUAUUGGGCGUAAAGGGCUCGUAGGCGGUCUGUUACGUCAGGAGUGAAAACUCGGGGCUCAACCCCGAGCCUGCUUCUGAUACGGGCAGACUGGAGGUAUGCAGGGGAGAACGGAAUUCCUGGUGUAGCGGUGAAAUGCGCAGAUAUCAGGAGGAACACCGGUGGCGAAGGCGGUUCUCUGGGCAUUACCUGACGCUGAGGAGCGAAAGUGUGGGGAGCGAACAGG
rnacentral:rRNA from 1 species